rnacentral:rRNA from 1 species
AACGAACGCUGGCGGCAUGCCUAACACAUGCAAGUCGAACGCCCCGCAAGGGGAGUGGCGAACGGGUGAGUAACGCGUGGGAACCUACCCAGCAGUUGGGGAUAACCGCGGGAAACUGCGGCUAAUACCGAAUACGUCCUAAGGGAGAAAGAUUUAUCGCUGUUGGAGGGGCCCGCGUCGGAUUAGCUAGUUGGUGAGGUAACGGCUCACCAAGGCGACGAUCCGUAGCUGGUCUGAGAGGAUGAUCAGCCACACUGGGACUUAGACACGGCCCAGACUCCUACGGGAGGCAGCAGUGGGGAAUAUUGGACAAUGGGGGCAACCCUGAUCCAGCAAUGCCGCGUGAGUGAUGAAGGCCUUAGGGUUGUAAAGCUCUUUUACCGGGGACGAUGAUGACGGUACCCGGAGAAUAAGCCCCGGCUAACUUCGUGCUAGCAGCCGCAGUAA